UACGUAGGGGGCAAGCGUUGUCCGGAUUUAUUGGGCGUAAAGAGCGUGUAGGCGGCCAGACAGGUCCGUUGUGAAAACUAGAGGCUUAACCUCUAGACGUCGAUGGAAACCGUCUGGCUAGAGUCCGGAAGAGGAGAAUGGAAUUCCUGGUGUAGCGGUGAAAUGCGCAGAUAUCAGGAAGAACACCCCGUGGCUAAGGCGGUUCUCUAGUACGGUACUGGCGCUGAGACGCGAAAGCGUGGGGAGCGAACAGG
rnacentral:rRNA from 1 species